rnacentral:lncRNA from 1 species
AAGAGAAUGGGCGACACAAAUACAAUCCAAGGAGAGGAACUCCCCAUAUGCUGCUGAUCAUCUCGGCUACCAAAGCACAGACAAUAAGGAGGGGGCACGGGAUACCAACACAUGGCGCCCCUGGAAUCUGCUGAUUAAUAAACUAGCAAAUAACCCAUGGCAUGGCAUGCACUUCCUACCUGAUUAAACAAUAGCAGCGAUCACCUUCCGGGAGAUCGUUCGUUCAGAUUCGCUCGUUCCUAAUCUUUCCUACCCAGUCUGACGAAAUAGCUGCUAGCAGUUGUUGGAGUACAGACUGGAGGACUGAAAGUGAAUGCAAAAGUUUGUGAGUGAGCACCUGAAAAAAGGCUCAAUCACCGGAGCGUCAGCGUCGCCUUCCUGCUUUAGGAUCUGACGCGCGCGUGCAUGCAGCCGCUGCGGAGGCACG